GAUGAACGCUGGCGGCGUGCCUAAUACAUGCAAGUCGAGCGAACAGACCAGGAGCUUGCUCCUCUGACGUUAGCGGCGGACGGGUGAGUAACACGUGGAUAACCUACCUAUCAGACUGGGAUAACUUCGGGAAACCGGAGCUAAUACCGGAUAAUAUAUUGCACCGCAUGGUUCAAUAGUGAAAGUCGGUUUUUCUGUCACUUAUAGAUGGAUCCGCGCCGUAUUAGCGAGUUGGUAAGGUAACGGGUUACCAAGGCAACGAUGCGUAGACGACCUGAGAGGGUGAUCGCCCACCCGGGAGCUGAGACACAGACCAGACGCCUGAGGGAGGAAGCAGUAGGGAAUCGUCCGCAAUGGGGGAGAGCUUGACAGAGCAACGCCGCGUGAGGUAUGAAGAUGCUCGGAUCGGAAAGCUCUGUUAUUAGUGGAGAACCAAUGUGUAAGUAACUAUGCAGGUAUUGACGGUACCGGGUCAAAAAGCCACGGCUAACUACGUG
rnacentral:rRNA from 1 species